rnacentral:rRNA from 1 species
CCUACGGGGGGCAGCAGUGAGGAAUAUUGGUCAAUGGACGAGAGUCUGAACCAGCCAAGUAGCGUGAAGGAUGACUGCCCUAUGGGUUGUAAACUUCUUUUAUAUGGGAAUAAAAUGUUCCACGUGUGGGAUUUUGUAUGUACCAUAUGAAUAAGGAUCGGCUAACUCCGUGCCAGCAGCCGCGGUAAUACGGAGGAUCCGAGCGUUAUCCGGAUUUAUUGGGUUUAAAGGGAGCGUAGGUGGAUUGUUAAGUCAGUUGUGAAAGUUUGCGGCUCAACCGUAAAAUUGCAGUUGAAACUGGCAGUCUUGAGUACAGUAGAGGUGGGCGGAAUUCGUGGUGUAGCGGUGAAAUGCUUAGAUAUCACGAAGAACUUCGAUUGCGAAGGCAGUUCACUGGACUGCAACUGACACUGAGGCUCGAAAGUGUGGGUAUCAAACAGGAUUAGAUACCCGUGUAGUC